AAUACCAAGAGGAGAAGAAAGUGAUCAUUCGAAGGUGAAAAAUCACCAAAUUGUAUCGAUAAUUCUCAAAUUCGAAAGAGUUUAUCGCCAGAUCUAGAUCCAUGGGGAACACAGAGAAAUUGAUGAACCAGAUCAUGGAGCUCAAGUUUACAUCAAAGAGUCUUCAACGCCAAGCCCGGAAAUGUGAAAAAGACGAAAAAUCCGAGAAGCUUAAGGUGAAAAAAGCGAUCGAGAAAGGGAAUAUGGACGGCGCUAGGAUUUACGCCGAGAAUGCAAUCCGCAAGCGCAGCGAGCAGAUGAAUUAUCUCCGUUUGUCCUCGCGUCUCGACGCCGUUGUGGCUCGACUCGAUACUCAGGCAAAAAUGAGCACAAUCAGCAAGUCUAUGGGUAAUAUCGUCAAAUCACUAGAGUCCUCUCUCAAUACCGGUAAUCUCCAGAAGAUGUCCGAGACGAUGGACCAGUUCGAGCGCCAGUUUGUUAAUAUGGAAGUUCAAGCUGAGUUUAUGGAGAGUUCUAUGGCUGGA
rnacentral:misc_RNA from 1 species